GAUUGACCUCGGAUCAGGUAGGGAUACCCGCUGAACUUAAGCAUAUCAAUAAGCGGAGGAAAAGAAACCAACAGGGAUUGCCUCAGUAACGGCGAGUGAAGCGGCAAGAGCUCAAAUUUGAAAUCUGGCCCGUUCCGGGUCCGAGUUGUAAUUUGUAGAAGAUGUUUCGGGCGACGUGCCGGUCUAAGUCCCUUGGAACAGGGCGUCAUGGAGGGUGAGAAUCCCGUGUGUGACCGGCGUCCCAGUCCAUGUGAAACUCCUUCGACGAGUCGAGUUGUUUGGGAAUGCAGCUCAAAAUGGGUGGUAUAUUUCAUCUAAAGCUAAAUACCGGCCAGAGACCGAUAGCGCACAAGUAGAGUGAUCGAAAGAUGAAAAGCACUUUGGAAAGAGAGUUAAACAGUACGUGAAAUUGUUGAAAGGGAAGCGCUUGCGACCAGACCUGCCCGCGGACGAUCCCCGGGGGUUCUCCCCCGUCCAUUCGUCCGUGACCAGGCCAGCAUCGGUUUCGGUGGCCGGAUAAAGACCGUGGGAAUGUAGCUCCCCCCGGGGAGUGUUAUAGCCCAUGCGUGCAAUACGGCCCACCGGGACCGAGGACCGCGCUUCGGCUAGGAUGCUGGCGUAAUGGUCGUAAGCGACCCGUCUUGAAACACGGACCAAGGAGUCUAACAUCUAUGCGAGUGUUUGGGUGUCAAACCCACACGCGGAAUGAAAGUGAACGGAGGUGGGAGCCCAUCAGGGUGCACCAUCGACCGAUCCAGAAGUUUACGGAUGGAUUUGAGUACGAGCAUAGCUGUUGGGACCCGAAAGAUGGUGAACUAUGCCUGAAUAGGGUGAAGCCAGAGGAAACUCUGGUGGAGGCUCGCAGCGGUUCUGACGUGCAAAUCGAUCGUCGAAUUUGGGUAUAGGGGUACGUUCUCCCCUGCUUAUUCUAUCCCCCCCCCCCCCCCCCGUCGUUUGGUAGGUACAAGGAAGAGCGCUGCGGCCGUGAAAUUGUUCAUCGCCAAUCUCGUGGCCGUGGUGCGGGGUGACUCGUGCAACUAGAAGCUCUUCUUUGUGCUUACCAAGCCACUUUUUUUCUUCUUGUUUUCCGGCUACAAGGGCUAACAUUAAUGCAGGCGAAAGACUAAUCGAACCAUCCCUGGGCGUUGCCAGAGUGGUUGUGGGCGCUAUUAGGUGGUUAAUCAAGGCCCGGGCACCUGCCCACGCCUUCAGUCCUUGCGGGCUACAAUGCUAGAUGCAUGAAGGUCGCCCCGGGUUUCCGGACGGCGACCAACCUGCAGCAGACAUCGGUCCCCCCGAGUCUGUCCACAGACCAAACAGCAUUGGCUGGGGGGUUCUUCGAGGCCCCCGGUUUUAAUAUGGCCGAGUCCGACUCUCCGAGGAGAGUCGGUUUCGAGAUCUCCUCCCCGGGGAUCUCGAAACCUUUGGUGAUCAACGCUAGUAGCUGGUUCCUGCCGAAGUUUCCCUCAGGAUAGCAGUAACGUUUUCAGUUUUAUGAGGUAAAGCGAAUGAUUAGAGGCCUUGGGGGUGAAACACCCUUAACCUAUUCUCAAACUUUAAAUAUGUAAGAAGUCCUUGUUGCUUAAUUGAACGUGGACAUUUGAAUGCACCG
rnacentral:rRNA from 1 species